CUUCAUCUAUCAUUGUUUUUAAUUAUUUAUUAUAUAUAUUGUUUGUGUGGUGUGGUGGUAAAGCAUUGCAAAAUUUUAGAUUUGGUGUAAAUAUAUGGUAAAUGCAUGCAUUUCUUAAUUAUCCGGCCAUCUGAUCUGAUAUAAUUAUUAUUUUUUGGUGCGUGGUUAGCAAAUAAGUACGCUUGCUGGGAAUCUAGUUCCAAGUUACUUCGAGUGGGAAGUUCUUUUCACCAUGGCCAUUAUUGGACUAGGCCUCUUACUGUUUGCUAUGCUCAUUGGAAAUAUGCAAAACUUUCUACAGUCUCUUGGUAGCAGGCAGUUGGAAAUGUCACUGAGGCGUCUCGAAGUUGAGAAGUGGAUGAGCCACCGAGGCUUGCCAGAGGGAUUAAGAAGGUACCUAUCUAGCUAGCUACUUUCUAAGUUUUUCUUUUUGAAUCUUUCUGCUCUUCCACCACUGGCUGCCUUUUGCUAUAAAAGUUCAGGACUUGCAAGAAGAUGUUGUGUGCUCGUUCCUUUAUCCGUCAAAUCCUCUUUCACCCAUCAUUGAAUCCAAAAGUUUCUCCCGUUUUGUGGUAGCCAUUUACGGUUUAGAACUUUAAAUAGAUGCUUAUAACUCAUUUGUAGUAACACUUAAGAAUAGACCAUUUGUAGCAAUUGUUUCAAGCUUCUUAUAACUCAUUUGGAUGCUGAAACAAUUGCUACAAAACCUUAUUAGCAUGCAUGUUUAGCUAAUAUUUUGACAAAUGUAUUUUUGAUGGUGAAACAAUUGUUACAUCUUGAUUUAAAUGAUUGACUAAUGUUUGAUUUUCUUAAA